UAGCAGUGAUGCCAAAAAUGUUCUUUUCAACAGUGAUGCCAAAAAUGAUGUGCUUCUUAACAGUGAUGCCAA